rnacentral:rRNA from 1 species
UGGCUCAGGAUGAACGCUGGCGGCACGCUUAACACAUGCAAGUCGAACGGAGAUAAAGGAGCUUGCUUCUUUAUCUUAGUGGCGGACGGGUGAGUAACACGUGAGCAACCUACCUUCAAGCGGGGAAUAAUGGAGGGAAACUUCCACUAAUACCCCAUAAGAUAGUAUUUCCGCAUGGAGAAGCUAUCAAAGAUUUAUUGUUUGAAGAUGGGCUCGCGUCCGAUUAGCCAGUUGGUGAGGUAACGGCCCACCAAAGCGACGAUCGGUAGCCGUACUGAGAGGUAGAACGGCCACAUUGGGACUGAGACACGGCCCAGACUCCUACGGGAGGCAGCAGUGGGGAAUA